UGUGUGGUGAAGCAAGCAGGAAAUUACCCAACCAAACAUUAGGAGAGCUCAAUGCGUUACAAUUGCUUCUGCAUCAUUAAAUAAUGCCGCUUUCUAAUGAACAUCAAAGGAAGAUAAAUGAAUAGAACUGCCUGGACGUGACUGAGUACCCUGGAACUAAUAGUGUGUGGAGCAGGAGGGAAGGACAAUAAAAUGAAGCAGGAAUAUAAAACAAUCUGCUAGCUGAAGAGUCAGAAGACUGAGGAGCUCUCUAAAUGGGGUAGGAGAGGAAUCAUUUCCACUCAGUAGCUAUUGAUUAAGACAGAGUGUAAGUGGUGUACUGUGAGGGAGG